GGAGCUCAUCAACCAUGGCCGCUUUACUGAGAUACAUGGUAGGGAGUUGGAGGAGAAGUUGACGGUUUCCUUCUCUUCUUCUGUCCAUUUUUCGGACGUUGGUAUUGGAAUCCAUAAGAUUUCGGUGUUGGUGUUGGAAGGAUGAUGGUAUAGCUGUUGAAGCAGGAAGUGGAAUGGCUCUGUGGGUGAGAGUUCUGGCUUUGAUAAUAGCAGCAGUAUUACCUUUUCUUUCAGACAUGUAAACAGAGAAGCAACAUCAGAGAUGAAGAUGUGCUUUUUGGAACUUAACAUCAGAACAUUUGAAGCUUACCUAUCUGUGUACUGCAUUCUUCUACUUGCUUGCUGAGACGGGUAUGCAUGUUGCGCAACUGAUAUCCCAAACUCGAAAGUUCCCCUGCAGCUCUCCUUGAUUCUGUUGCCUGAGUAUUUCAGAGAAUUCACCUGCUGAGGCUGCUUGAAACAAAAGAAGGGUAGAAAAUGUACCUGUUGGGGCUGCUUGAAAUAAGGUAUCUGCUGCAGGCAAGCAAGUGCGCUUUUGACGACCCAGUAAGUAGCCAGACGGAUUUUAGACAUGGUUUCUCCCACAAGGUUGCUGUCUAGCUUCGCUUGUUUAAACGGUAGCCUUUCAAACUCAGUGAUGCAUUUGGUUACGUCUACCAGAACUUUAAUGAGCAAGCUUAGAGGGUUUAACCAUGGUCUGAACGUGGUUCUCUCUAUAGGCAACUGGUUGAGUGUUGCAAUUGAUGCUGCGACCGGAUCAUUAGAGCCUAGAUGAAUUGGUAGCAAUAGUCCUCCAUAUGUUGCAGCAAGGGCUCCAAGUACUAACACAGCUUUUGCAUCCCAUCUGUAUUCUUUCAGAAGAUCGAACAAAACCAUUGUUCUUGUAUGGAUCUCGUUUUCCCCCAUGCAUGGACAAAGCAUCUGCAACCUCAAGAGUUUCAAGAUCUCCGCUCCCAGGAAGAAUUGAUUUUAGAAGGAAGAUGAUCUGUGUUACCUGAACUGAGAUUCUGGAGAUAGCGUAUGGUAGUGUCUCCUUUGAUUCGAAAACUUCAAUGUCGGUCAUACAAUUCUCUGUUAGAAGCGGCUUAGAAACCUGAAAGUUAAGUGGCGUUUGUUAUUGGCAAUCAUCUAGACAAGUAUCUGAAGACUAGAAGAAGCUCAAGGGGUUAUGAGCUCAACUCACAUCACUUUGCAGAACAAAGCUCAAGAUGGCUUCUACUUCUUGAAGCAACGUUUUGGAAUCAAUCCAGCGACCGUCUGGAUCAUGUGUUCGGAGUAUCUGCUCAACUAUGAUAUCUUCAGUCAGAGCAGAGAUGCUGCUUGUGGAAUCCAUGGUAAUGGUUGUGUUUGAAAAGACUUCUUUGAAUUAGGAUUUAGUAACCAGAUGUCUUGUCUCUUGGUUUGCGUGAUCAGAUAUUAGUAGGGUCUCUGAAACUGAAAAUUGUUUAACAAUCUGACAGGAAUCUUGUACAAAGAUUUGCAACCAUAGCUUUAUCUUUUUUUCAUUA